CAGUAGCCGCGGGAAUACGUAGGGGGCAAGCGUUGUCCGGAAUUAUUGGGCGUAAAGCGCGCGCAGGCGGUUUUUUAAGUCUGGUGUCUAAGUGCGGGGCUCAACCCCGUGACGCACUGGAAACUGGGAGACUUGAGUGCAGAAGAGGAGAGCGGAAUUCCACGUGUAGCGGUGAAAUGCGUAGAGAUGUGGAGGAACACCAGUGGCGAAGGCGGCUCUCUGGACUGUAACUGACGCUGAGGCGCGAAAGCGUGGGGAGCAAACAGGAUUAGAUACCCGCGUAGUCCCUGUCUCUUAUACA
rnacentral:rRNA from 1 species